rnacentral:misc_RNA from 1 species
ACAAACUUGGUCAUUUAGAGGAAGUAAAAGUCGUAACAAGGUUUCCGUAGGUGAACCUGCGGAAGGAUCAUUACAAAUCCGUGAUAAGACACUUUGUUGAACGCGUCAAGGUGAGGUCUCUCUUUAGAGACCGGGAGGGAGGUCUGAGAGAGGGGUCACUCUUUCUCUGGACUCUCUCCACCACCACUUGUCACCCUAGUUAUUGUGUUAUGAUUGUUGUAUUGAGCGACAUACUCGAAACAACUUAUAACAAUGGAUCUCUAGGCUCUUGCAUCGAUGAAGAACGCAGC